rnacentral:rRNA from 1 species
CCAAUAGCGUAUAUUAAAGUUGUUGCAGUUAAAAAGCUCGUAGUUGAAUUUUGGAUUCUUCCAAUUGGUCCAUCUUUUAGAUGAGUACUGGUUGUGUGGGGUCUAUCCGCCUGGUGAUACGUAAUGUCCUUUAUUGGAUGUUGCGGGUAGUCAGGACCUUUACCUUGAAAAAAUUAGAGUGUUUAAAGCAGGCUUAUGCCGGAAUACAUUAGCAUGGAAUAAUAGAAUAGGACGAAGUUGUUUUAUUUUGUUGGUUUCUAGGACAACCGUAAUGAUUAAUAGGGAUAGUUGGGGGCAUUAGUAUUAAAUUGCCAGAGGUGAAAUUCUUGGAUUUAUUGAAGACUAACUACUGCGAAAGCAUUUGCCAAGGAUGUUUUCAUUAAUCAAGAACGAAAGUUAGGGGAUCGAAGACGAUCAGAUACCGUCGUAGUCUUAACCAUAAACUAUGCCGACUAGGGAUCGGGCGAUGUUGUUUCCAUGACUCGCUCGGCACCUUAUG